UUUGGUUAAGUUAGAAAGGGCGCACGGUGGAUGCCUUGACACUAGGAGUCGAUGAAGGACGGGACUAACGCCGAUAUGCUUCGGGGAGCUGUAAGUAAGCUUUGAUCCGAAGAUUUCCGAAUGGGGAAACCCACCAUACGUAAUGGUAUGGUAUCCUUAUCUGAAUACAUAGGGUAAGGAAGACAGACCCAGGGAACUGAAACAUCUAAGUACCUGGAGGAAGAGAAAGCAAAUGCGAUUUCCUGAGUAGCGGCGAGCGAAACGGAACAUAGCCCAAACCAAGAGGCUUGCCUCUUGGGGUUGUAGGACAUUCUAUACGGAGUUACAAAGGAACGAGGUAGACGAAGCGACCUGGAAAGGUCCGUCGUAGAGGGUAACAACCCCGUAGUCGAAACUUCGUUCUCUCUUGAAUGUAUCCUGAGUACGGCGGAACACGUGAAAUUCCGUCGGAAUCUGGGAGGACCAUCUCCCAAGGCUAAAUACUCCCUAGUGAUCGAUAGUGAACCAGUACCGUGAGGGAAAGGUGAAAAGCACCCCGGAAGGGGAGUGAAAGAGAUCCUGAAACCGUGUGCCUACAAAUAGUCAGAGCCCGUUAAUGGGUGAUGGCGUGCCUUUUGUAGAAUGAACCGGCGAGUUACGAUCCCGUGCGAGGUUAAGCUGAAGAGGCGGAGCCGCAGCGAAAGCGAGUCUGAAUAGGGCGUUUAGUACGUGGUCGUAGACCCGAAACCAGGUGAUCUACCCAUGUCCAGGGUGAAGUUCAGGUAACACUGAAUGGAGGCCCGAACCCACGCACGUUGAAAAGUGCGGGGAUGAGGUGUGGGUAGCGGAGAAAUUCCAAUCGAACCUGGAGAUAGCUGGUUCUCCCCGAAAUAGCUUUAGGGCUAGCCUUAAGUGUAAGAGUCUUGGAGGUAGAGCACUGAUUGGACUAGGGGUCCUCAUCGGAUUACCGAAUUCAGUCAAACUCCGAAUGCCAAUGACUUAUCCUUAGGAGUCAGACUGCGAGUGAUAAGAUCCGUAGUCAAAAGGGAAACAGCCCAGACCGCCAGCUAAGGUCCCAAAGUGUGUAUUAAGUGGAAAAGGAUGUGGAGUUGCUUAGACAACUAGGAUGUUGGCUUAGAAGCAGCCACCAUUUAAAGAGUGCGUAAUAGCUCACUAGUCGAGUGA
rnacentral:rRNA from 1 species